rnacentral:pre_miRNA from 1 species
CCGCUACCGGGCUUAAUUAGUAUUCGCAAGAGCUGCUUGAGAAGUGCUCGAUUCUAGCAUCGUUCUAAGGCACUCGGUGAAUGCUAAAUGAGCUCUGGAAUA